rnacentral:misc_RNA from 1 species
AGAUACUCGUAAGGGAGCUUUCCUGUUAGCAGCUCCCACAGCACGAUUGCGAAGCUGAAAAUAUCAGCCUUGUGAUCAUAGGGCUUGUGUUCUAUGACCUCUGGAGCCAUCCAGCGAUAAGUUCCAGUUUCGGCAGUCAUAACACCCGAAUCAGUUUGAACUCGUGCGACUCCAAAAUCGGCAACCUUGACAACCUCAUUUUCAUCCAUCAGUAGAUUG